UACAGAGGGUGCGAACGUUGCUCGGAAUUACUGGGCGUAAAGCGCGUGUAGGCGGGUCGGCAAGUCAGGCGUGAAAUCCCCAGGCUCAACCUGGGAACUGCGCUUGAAACUGCCGGUCUUGAGUAUCGGAGAGGGUGGCGGAAUUCCUGGUGUAGAGGUGAAAUUCGUAGAUAUCAGGAGGAACACCGGUGGCGAAGGCGGCCACCUGGACGAUUACUGACGCUGAGACGCGAAAGCGUGGGGAGAAAC
rnacentral:rRNA from 1 species